UUCUCAUUGCAAUGCUAAUGUUAUUGAUCUUCUCUUUUGGGUGUUCAACAAAGAACAGAACUAGAAAGGUAACUGGACUAAGAAGACAGCCAGCAUUAUGUCCCUGACCCUUCAAGGUCUACAAAUAACUCUGGACAUGAAGAAUCUUUUCUAUAAGAUCCUACAACUUUGGAAUCAGCUGAAAAAAUGUUUACGUCAAUGUGAAGACUUUCGUCUGAACGUCUGUGGUGGAUGCAGAGAAAGAGCACAUCAGAAAGGAUCUACAAACCACUUGGAAUCAGACUUUGCUGCAAUGUGUGACAGCGUCACCCUCGUCAAAAGUCAAGGAACUCUAUACAUUGUUUGUCGUGUGCUUUCCAUCUUGUUUUACCAGCUCUUAUUUGUCUAUUAUAACAUUUUUAUGUCACAAGAGUUUAUGUGAUGUGGGGGGAGGUUUCUAAUGGGUAGAAAGCAGGGACCCUACUAUGGGGAGGUAAGAAAUCAGAUGUGCCUUGUACAGGUGCCAAGUGCCACAGUGAAUGUGAGCCUUAUGCGUCAUAAAUACAAACUAACUUAAUAACCACAAGAAUGAAAGUGGGGAAAGGGGAUUAGAGAUGGAGGGAGCGAGAUGGGUGGGCAGAGGAUGGGAUUUAUACAACAACAAGCUGUGUUAUGCACUUGUACCUCUUCUGCAACAUGAAUGCAAACGUCAUGUACUACAAACAUUUAAAAAGACAACAGCAGCAACAACUCACAUCGCACAAGGCAGCCUCAUGAGCAGCCAGAGCCCCAGAGGUCAGCAGUGCUGAGAUUGGGACUCCUGGUCAGUUGCCACCCUGCACUCCCCACCAGGCUACACGCUCUGUCACGGCCUUCAGUCCUACCCCGCUCCAACCUGGGGCUCUGUCCGAGCCUGCCAUGGCUUUUCUUUUGCCUUUGUUUUUCCAUGUAAAUUUUGGAGCCAUCUUGUCAAUUUAUAAAAAACAUUUGUACUGGGACUUCCGAUGGGAUUGUAUAUUAUCUAUACAUUGAUUUGGGGGAAAAAACAAUAACAUUCUAAAAACAAAUCUUUUAAUUCAUGAAC
rnacentral:lncRNA from 1 species